GAUCAUGGCUCAGGAUGAACGCUAGCUACAGGCUUAACACAUGCAAGUCGAGGGGCAUCAGGAAGAAAGCUUGCUUUCUUUGCUGGCGACCGGCGCACGGGUGAGUAACACGUAUCCAACCUGCCCUUUACUCGGGGAUAGCCUUUCGAAAGAAGGAUUAAUACCCGAUAGCAUAAUGAUUCCGCAUGGUUUCAUUAUUAAAGGAUUCCGGUAAAGGAUGGGGAUGCGUUCCAUUAGGUUGUUGGUGGGG
rnacentral:rRNA from 1 species